rnacentral:misc_RNA from 1 species
GCAAACUUGGUCAUUUAGAGGAAGUAAAAGUCGUAACAAGGUCUCCGUUGGUGAACCAGCGGAGGGAUCAUUAAAGAGUUGAAAAACUCACCCAAAACCACCGUGAACAUACCUUAUAACGUUGCCUCGGCAGGCGGCCCCAGGGCGGGGCCGUGGCCUGGAAUAAUGGUGCCUGCCGGGGGUUUUUAAAACUUCUGUUAUUUCUAGUCAGCUUCUGAGUCGGGAAAAACAAACCCAGUCAAAACUUUCAACAACGGAUCUCUUGGCUCUGGCAUCGAUGAAGAACGCAGC